rnacentral:tRNA from 1 species
GGGGCUGUAGCUCAGCGGGAGAGCAUCUGAUUUGCAUUCAGGGGGUCAGGGGUUCGAAUCCCCUCAGCUCCACCA